UAUCUCUGGAUCCAGAAGACAGGACAGUAAUAUUCCACACGCGGAGAAGGCCAAUAAAUUAAUCUCAACUGAACUCACUUUCCAACCCACCCACCGCCACCGUCGCCGCCACCAUAUUCCCAAAUCUCCCCACCUGGAUCCUCUCAGUUUCAUCCUUAUCUGCCUUGCUCAACUCUAUCUGCUUUGCUCUUCUACUGAUUUCCUCUCUCUCUCCCGAAUUCCCAAUCAUAAAUCUAAUCCACUCCCACUGAAAGAGUUCUCAUCAGUGGCCAUUUUAAAAUUGUGGGGUUGUUGGUGGGUGCCUCUGGGAUUUUAUUCUUUGCCCCUUAAACAAAAGACACCCUAUAUUUGUAGGAUCCACAACCGUGAUUCCGGGGAUGGGUCUGUUUUCUGAAACCUACAGUACCAAGCAAGUCCUUUUAUUAUAGAAAGCCUUAAUCUUUCUCCCUCUUCAAUCAUACAAAGUCUCCUUAAUUCAUUAGUUUUUUCCAUUUUUAUUCAUUUUUAUCUAGACCAAGGCUUCCAUGUUUACUUCAAAUGUAGUCCUACAAAUAAAGGGUAUCCUUUGUUUUGGUUAAUUAGUCAGUGUAUGUUGUUCUUGUUUUAGAAUUUUAGAGAGAGAAAAUUAUGGGAUCUGGUAAUGGGGUUUAUUCAGUUGCGGAUUUCGAUUUGGAUGCCAAGUGGCUGAUCGAUCAAAAACAUCUUUUUGUUGGUACGAGGAUUGGGGAAGGCGCGCAUGCCAAAGUGUACGAAGGAAAAAUCAAGAUGUUGCUGUAAAAAUUGUUCAUAGAGGAGAAACCCCAGAGCAGAUUGCCAAGAGAGAAGUGCGGUUUGCGAGGGAAGUGGCAAUGAUGUCGAAAGUGCAGCACAAAAACUUAGUGAAGGGGCUUGAAAGAGUUGGAUGUGGACAGCUUUGUUGAUGAUUUCCUUGUGAAUCACAAACCAUGGGCUUCUGGAGUGCAAGAGGCGUUGACUGGCUCCCAUGUAAUGUAUGUGCACAUGGUAGUCGAGAUAAUAGAUGUGGUGUUUGUGGACCUGUCCUCAUUGAUAAGUUCCAAGUGGAGGCUGAGCUGCGAGGAUUGAUGAAUCAGGUAUUUGUUACUGCUUGCUCUCACAUUGGAGGCCACAAAUAUGCUGGAAACUUGAUUAUCUACAGCCCAGGUUCAGAUGGAAGCAUAACAGGCCAUUGGUAUGGCUAUGUCACUCUUGAUGAUGUGCCAGAAUUGCCUGAUCAGCAUAUUGGGAAGGGAGAGAUCAUUGAAUGACUUUGGAGGGGCCAAAUGGGAGUAUCUUCUGAUGAAACUGAAAAAAUUAAUGACCCGAAGCUUUCAAAUGGAGGAGAAAGUAAGAAAAUCCAGGAGAAGCCCCAAGAAAACGGCAAUCAGAUUCAGAAAAAUGAGAACUUUUCAGGCUGUUGCGACGGUGCUAAUAGUAAUGGAUUUACAUGAUGGAAGUAAGUUUGGAGGAGAACGGUGGAAGUGACGAAAAGAAGCUGAAAGAAACCAGAGAGUCGCGUGCCAGGAAGGAUGCCUUAGGGAAGCUGUCAAGCUUGAUUGGGAACUGGGAGCAAAGCGAUGUUCUUGCAGCUGCUGCCGUGGUUGGAGCAGCGGCAACAGUGGCCGUGGCCUAUAGCUUUUAUAGAAGGUCGGGCUGAAACGUACUCUAAUCCAUGUCGGGUUCUGCCACGGUGUAGAGGCCCUAUAUAUUUUUUUUUCUUUGUAGAAAGAUGUUAUAACGUCAGUUAAAUAAGCUCUUAUGUGAAAGGAGAAUAUGGUAGCUACACUGUACGUUCGUUUUUGGAGGGUGGGAUGAUUUCCUGGAGCUAAGCCGUAUAUAGUUACAAAAGUAUUCACUAUUCCUUUCCGUAGUUGAUUGCUUACACAACUGAUUUGUUGUUCCAAUAUACUGUUGAAUGGUUUUAUCUUGAUAGUGGGAUCUGUUAUGAGACUGCUUU